GCCCGGGUGGCGAAAUUGGUAGACGCAAGGGACUUAAAAUCCCUCGGGAGUAACUCCCGUGCCGGUUCGAGUCCGGCCCCGGGCACCA
rnacentral:tRNA from 1 species